rnacentral:sRNA from 1 species
ACGUUUGAGAGCUGAAUCUUCAAAAUGCUGUUGGCGUCGGAGCCGGGGACCGUUUAGGUGAGAGGGACGCCAUUAUCGUCCAGGCGUCUGAUGGUACACAGACUGACAACGUUGGCAUCUUCUUCUUGGAAGUUAAAGGCAUCCGGCUGGCAGUCCUUCUUCUGGAGUUUCACAGCACCUUCUCCGAGCCUAAUGACAGCUGUCAUUAUGGCUACAACCACUACAAGGGUCGCUAUACUCGUUCCUAUUCCAGUGUAUAACUCACCUUCAAAAGAUCAAAACAGUGAGAAUCAUUCCAAACCUCUACAGAAAUCGAUAUUUGAAAUAAUAUUUAGUUCUUAUCAAAAUAGUGGCUGAACAAAUAUUGUGACAAAUAAUUUACAAUAAAUGCA